GGAGGAGUGUCCGAGUGGUUUAAGGAGGCGGUCUUGAAAACCGUUGGGCUUCACGGCCCCGUGGGUUCGAAUCCUACCUCCUCCGCCA
rnacentral:tRNA from 1 species